rnacentral:tRNA from 2 species
GCGAGGGUGGCGGAAUUGGUAGACGCGCUGGAUUUAGGAUCCAGUGGGGCAACCCAUGGGGGUUCGACUCCCCCCUCUCGCA